UUAUCUUCCUCAGGGUGAACAGGCACAGCGCUGAUUCUUUGGGUGGUUUGGCCCGAUUCUUCUGACCCUGAGAGAAGAUUGUGAAGAGGAUGUCUUCAUUCUCAGAGAUCCCCAGAGAGUUGGCCAGCUGCCGGCCUGGCCGAGCCAAGAACGCAUCCUGCACUAGGCGGUACUCUACCCCGUCUUUGGUGCAGCCGAUGGGGAACUCGACGUAAGAGUAAAACUUAGGGUCGUCAACACAGAGGCGGACAAUCUUAGAAGUGAAGAACUGCUCUCCGCUGGCGUCAGUGUUGCACGCCUUCAUCAGGAAUAUCAUCUGUAGAGACACGAGGUGGGAGCCCUGGAAAGAGAAAAAAAAAACAUGGCUUGAAACAAAAGCCGGCACAAGGACGAGUACAAACUGCCAGACAAUAAACUCACACAUUCAAGGACUGGAGCGGCAAUGAGUGCAAGGACAACUGCUUUUCUGACACCCUGUGUGCUGUGUGGAUUUCAGUGUGUGUGUGUGUGUGUGUGUGUGUGCGUGCUUGUGCGUGUGGGUGUGUGUUUUAGAGAGAGAGACAGCUGCCACCCUGAGACAGUAGACAGACUGUGGGCACUACAUCAUACAAAUUCUGCCUCACCGACUCCUUCCCUGCGACAAUAAACACACUCACACUCUUGAGUUUUCAGAGGUAAAUGGGAUUAUAUGCUGACAGACGUUACUUCACAGACACAGCAUGUGUAAUGUGUGUAUGUGUUCCUCUGUGUGGAGGGAGGGGGUCAUAAA